UACGAAGGUGGCAAGCGUUGUUCGGAUUUACUGGGCGUACAGGGAGCGUAGGCGGUUCGGUAAGCCCUCUGUGAAAUCUCCAGGCUUAACCUGGAACAGUCGGAGGGGACUGCUGGGCUAGAGGACGGGAGAGGAGCGCGGAAUUCCCGGUGUAGCGGUGAAAUGCGUAGAGAUCGGGAGGAAGGCCGGUGGCGAAGGCGGCGCUCUGGAACGUUUCUGACGCUGAGGCUCGAAAGCGUGGGGGAGCAAGCAGG
rnacentral:rRNA from 1 species